rnacentral:rRNA from 1 species
CCUACGGGAGGCAGCAGUGGGGGAUAUUGGACAAUGGGGGAAACCCUGAUCCAGCGACGCCGCGUGAGUGAAGAAGUAUUUCGGUAUGUAAAGCUCUGUCAGCAGGGAAGAAAGACAUGACGGUACCUGACCAAGAAGCCCCGGCUAACUACGUGCCAGCAGCCGCGGUAAUACGUAGGGGGCAAGCGUUAUCCGGAAUUACUGGGUGUAAAGGGAGCGUAGACGGUUAAGUAAGUCUGGAGUGAAAGGCCGGGGCCCAACCCCGGGACUGCUCUGGAAACUAUUGAACUUGAGUGCAGGGGAGGUAAGCGGAAUUCCUAGUGUAGCGGUGAAAUGCGUAGAUAUUAGGAGGAACACCAGUGGCGAAGGCGGCUUACUGGACUGUAACUGACGUUGAGGCUCGAAAGCGUGGGGAGCAAACAGGAUUAGAUACCCCGGUAGUC